AGUGAACGCUGGCGGUAGGCCUAACACAUGCAAGUCGAACGGCAGCACAGUAAGAGCUUGCUCUUACGGGUGGCGAGUGGAGGACGGGUGAGGAAUACAUCGGAAUCUACUUUUUCGUGGGGGAUAACGUAGGGAAACUUACGCUAAUACCGCAUACGACCUACGGGUGAAAGCAGGGGAUCUUCGGACCUUGCGCGAUUGAGUGAGCCGAUGUCGGAUUAGCUAGUUGGCGGGGUAAAGGCCCACCAAGGCGACGAUCCGUAGCUGGUCUGAGAGGAUGAUCAGCCACACUGGAACUGAGACACGGUCCAGACUCCUACGGGAGGCAGCAGUGGGGAAUAUUGGACACUGGGCGCAAUUCUGAUCCAGCCAUACCGCGUGGGUGAAGAAGGCCUUCGGGUUGUAAAGCCCUUUUGUUGGGAAAGAAAAGCAGCAGGUUAAUACCCCGCUGUUCUGACGGUACCCAAAGAAUAAGCACCGGCUAACUUCGUG
rnacentral:rRNA from 1 species